GACGAACGCUGGCGGCGCGCUUAACACAUGCAAGUCGAACGGUAAGGCCCUGCUUUUGUGCUUUGCUCGAGUGGCGAACGGGUGUGUAACACGUGAGUAACCUGCCCUUUACUUUGGGUUAACUUCACGUAACUAUGGCUAAUACCGGAUAGGAUCUCCUGCUUCAUGGUUCGUGUUGGCAAGUUUCGUCGGUUGGGGAUGUACUCGCGGCUUAUCAGCUUUUUGGUGGGGUAGUGUCUUACCAAGGCUUUGACGGGUAGCCGGCCUGAGAGGGUGACCGGAAACAUUGGAACUGAGAUAAGGCACAGACUAAGACGGGAGGGAGCAGUGGGGAAUAGUGCACAAUGGGAGGAAGCCUGAUGCAGCAAAGCCGCGUGGGGGAUGACGGCAUGCGGGUUGUAACCCGAUUUCGCCUGUGACGAAGAGAGAGUGACGGUAAUGGGAAAAGAAGCACCGGCUAACUACGUG
rnacentral:rRNA from 1 species